rnacentral:misc_RNA from 1 species
GAUGAAGAACGCAGCGAAAUGCGAUAAGUAGUGUGAAUUGCAGAAUUCAGUGAAUCAUCGAAUCUUUGAACGCACAUUGCGCCCUUUGGUAUUCCAAAGGGCAUGCCUGUUCGAGCGUCAUUUGUACCCUCAAGCUUCGCUUGGUGUUGGGCGUCUUGUCUCUAGCUUUGCUGGAGACUCGCCUUAAAGUAAUUGGCAGCCGGCCUACUGGUUUCGGAGCGCAGCACAAGUCGCACUCUCUAUCAGCAAAGGUCUAGCAUCCAUUAAGCCUUUUUUUCAACUUUUGACCUCGGAUCAGGUAGGGAUACCCGCUGAACUUAAGCAUAUCAAUAAGCGGAGGA